AUAAUACUGAAAAAUUAUCUUCAGCGGUCUUCCUUAAAAUGGGAAAAGUGUUGGCUGUUUUAGUGUUCCUUUUCUGUCUGCUAAGCAUUAUUCACGAAAUAUAUGGUGAUGGAGAAUGCACCAACGUAAUAUGUAGUUUUGUCUGGCCCUGUCAAAGUAACUAUUACUGCGACCAUAGACUUGGUUGGCGGGGUUUUUGCUGUACAUAUGAUUAGCGCGAUGUGAGAUGUAAUUCAAAUGGAAGAUGUAAGAAGACACAAAAAGAGCUUCUUUAUUAAUAUCUGUGCAUUAAAAAAAUCCCUUUUGCUUUUGAAAAAUUAAAAUUUCUUGAGCAGACAAAAUAAAUUCUGAAACUAUAAUCAUAAAUUUGUUCUGUCAAUCUAAUACACAUUACUUCUGCGGCUGAGUUUAUUCAUAAGAAAUGA